CCCCCCCCCCCCCCCCCCCCCCCCCCCCCCCCCCCCCCCCCCCCCCCCCCCCCCCCCCCCCCCCCCCCCCCCCCCCCCCCCCCCCCCCCCCCCCCCCCCCCCCCCCCCCCCCGCCCCUGUGUGAGGGACAUCCCUCCGUGUGAGGGGGGAUCCCACACAACCCUCCGUGUGAGAGUCACAAUCAGAUGCAGCAGGUGACACUGUGACCAGCCAUGGCAGCAUGACAGAUGGAGGGACUGUCACACAUAAUGAUGUUGAUAUAAAUGCAACUGAAGACAAGGUUACAGACAUGGUACAGACCCCAGUCCAGCAGCUGGAAGAAGAAUAAUUCACUUGAAGUUUGCUUGGAAGAAGUCUCCAGCUGCAAGGUGGCUGCUACCCAGUCACAUGAGGUCCUAAGGUGCUGCAGACGGGCAGUGAAGCCCAUGGUGGAGAAGGACCAACAAAUGAUGUCCAUGUGUAGUGACUGUAUUCUACUUGAUGUCUCUUUCCCCUCUCUCCGCCCUUUCUUUCCCACCCCUCUUUUCUGUUUCUUUACCUCACAAUUAUUGUUAAAUAAAACCUGCAUUAAUUACUUUCAAAUAUUGUCUUGUUUGCAGCUUAAUUUGGGCAGAAGCACCUGGCACUUAUCAGAUCUUAACAAAGCUCAUUGCUGAACAGUGGCUCCAAGGAGGUUUGUGACCCUCUGCUCCAUUGUUCCAUCUUGGCUGCUGAGGGAGAGGA
rnacentral:lncRNA from 1 species